rnacentral:rRNA from 1 species
CAUGGAGUUUGAUCCUGGCUCAUAUUGAACGCUGGCGGAAUGCUUUACACAUGCAAGUCGAACGGUAGAGGGGGCAACCCCUCGAGAGUGGCGAACGGGUGAGUAAUAUAUCGGAACGUGCCCAGUCGUGGGGGAUAACGUAGCGAAAGUUACGCUAAUACCGCAUACGAUCUACGGAUGAAAGCGGGGGACUCGCAAGAGCCUCGCGCGAUUGGAGCGGCCGAUAUCAGAUUAGGUAGUUGGUGGGGUAAAGGCUCACCAAGCCAACGAUCUGUAGCUGGUCUGAGAGGACGACCAGCCACACUGGAACUGAGACACGGUCCAGACUCCUACGGGGAGCAGCAGUGGGGAAUUUUGGACAAUGGACGCAAGCCUGAUCCCAGCCCAUGCCGCGUGCGGG